rnacentral:pre_miRNA from 1 species
UUUUUAGUAUAAGUAAGCCCCAAGCAACAUUUGGGACAUACUUGUACUAAUA